rnacentral:rRNA from 2 species
GAGUUUGAUCAUGGCUCAGGACGAACGCUGGCGGCGUGCCUAAUACAUGCAAGUCGAACGAACUCUGGUAUUGAUUGGUGCUUGCAUCAUGAUUUACAUUUGAGUGAGUGGCGAACUGGUGAGUAACACGUGGGAAACCUGCCCAGAAGCGGGGGAUAACACCUGGAAACAGAUGCUAAUACCGCAUAACAACUUGGACCGCAUGGUCCGAGCUUGAAAGAUGGCUUCGGCUAUCACUUUUGGAUGGUCCCGCGGCGUAUUAGCUAGAUGGUGGGGUAAUGGCUCACCAUGGCAAUGAUACGUAGCCGACCUGAGAGGGUAAUCGGCCACAUUGGGACUGAGACACGGCCCAAGCUCCUACGGGAGGCAGCAGUAGGGAAUCUUCCACAAUGGACGAAAGUCUGAUGGAGCAACGCCGCGUGAGUGAAGAAGGGUUUCGGCUCGUAAAACUCUGUUGUUAAAGAAGAACAUAUCUGAGAGUAACUGUUCAGGUAUUGACGGUAUUUAACCAGAAAGCCACGGCUAACUACGUGCCAGCAGCCGCGGUAAUACGUAGGUGGCAAGCGCUGUCCGGAUUUAUUGGGCGUAAAGCGAGCGCAGGCGGUUUUUUAAGUCUGAUGUGAAAGCCUUCGGCUCAACCGAAGAAGUGCAUCGGAAACUGGGAAACUUGAGUGCAGAAGAGGACAGUGGAACUCCAUGUGUAGCGGUGAAAUGCGUAGAUAUAUGGAAGAACACCAGUGGCGAAGGCGGCUGCCUGGUCUGUAACUGACGCUGAGGCUCGAAAGUAUGGGUAGCAAACAGGAUUAGAUACCCUGGUAGUCCAUACCGUAAACGAUGAAUGCUAAGUGUUGGAGGGUUUCCGCCCUUCAGUGCUGCAGCUAACGCAUUAAGCAUUCCGCCUGGGGAGUACGGCCGCAAGGCUGAAACUCAAAGGAAUUGACGGGGGCCCGCACAAGCGGUGGAGCAUGUGGUUUAAUUCGAAGCUACGCGAAGAACCUUACCAGGUCUUGACAUACUAUGCAAAUCUAAGAGAUUAGACGUUCCCUUCGGGGACAUGGAUACAGGUGGUGCAUGGUUGUCGUCAGCUCGUGUCGUGAGAUGUUGGGUUAAGUCCCGCAACGAGCGCAACCCUUAUUAUCAGUUGCCAGCAUUAAGUUGGGCACUCUGGUGAGACUGCCGGUGACAAACCGGAGGAAGGUGGGGAUGACGUCAAAUCAUCAUGCCCCUUAUGACCUGGGCUACACACGUGCUACAAUGGAUGGUACAACGAGUUGCGAACUCGCGAGAGUAAGCUAAUCUCUUAAAGCCAUUCUCAGUUCGGAUUGUAGGCUGCAACUCGCCUACAUGAAGUCGGAAUCGCUAGUAAUCGCGGAUCAGCAUGCCGCGGUGAAUACGUUCCCGGGCCUUGUACACACCGCCCGUCACACCAUGAGAGUUUGUAACACCCAAAGUCGGUGGGGUAACCUUUUAGGAACCAGCCGCCUAAGGUGGGACAGAUGAUUAGGGUGAAGUCGUAACAAGGUAACC